CAUAUAUUUUGGUGCCCCUGCGUGAGGCGUUUCAAACAAAACUUCUGGAUACUAACAGACAACCUAAAACUUAGCCUUCCAAAUUGAUGAGAGAAACUUAUUUCCAGGCUGUUUUAGACUUAAUCACAAUCAAUGCUAUGCUUGCUGAAGUUGCUUGACUAAGUUCUGAUGUUUUCCUGAUCUAUGCAUAAAACCUUUAUGCUUUGUGUUUCACACACUUUUGUACUACAUGCCCGUAGUCUGUGUUUGAGCUGGACAGCGUGAAAUGUUGUUCUGAGUAGCAGUGAGACUGACUCUUCUGCUCUGUCUAGACUGUCCAAUAUUUAAGUGCACGAUUGUUGCGUCGCCGUACGCUUGUAUUUAAGGCCUUUGGCUGAACCCAGUGUUCGCGAUGCUCCGAGCUGUGGUUUCAAGCCCCUGAAGUCUCUGUAGUCUGCUACGAGGUUCUAGUAACUAUAUGGGAUUCAGAUUUCCUCCUUUCCCCUGACAGAUUAGCUACCUGUCACAGGAAACCACUUUAACAGUGGGAGGUUGUUGUUUGAUUGAAUUGAGACAAAAUUUGUGUUCACAAAUCGCCGCAUUUGUGAUUUUUAAAGUCUGCAGUUGAAUCUGCUGUUGAGGGAUUUGUCACUUUGAUUCUUGUCUCUAUAGUCUGCUAUGAAGUUCUAGUAACUAUAUGGGAUUUAGAUUUCCUCCUUUCCCCUGACAGAUAAGCUAUCUGUCACAGGAAACCACUGUAACAGUGGGAGGUUGUUGUUUGAAUGAAUUCAGACAAAAUCCGUGAUCACGAAUCGCCGCAUUUGUGAUUUUAAAGUCUGCAGUUGAAUCUGCUGUUUAAGGAUUUGUCACUUUGAUUCUUGUUCCUGUAAAUGAUUCUAUUGAACCAAUCUGCCUGAGCAGAUGGUGGAAAGUUCUAUGUUUGAGGGUGCAGACGCAGCCUGCUGUGAAAUGUUAACCCUUUGUUGUCAGUGGAGAGACUGACCAUUUGGCCUUAAGCAGAUAAGGCCCUUCGAGGAGGCAGAGCCUAAAGGCCCCUUCCUUCAUACUUCCCAACUCCUCACAGCCACAAGAGGCUAGUUGGAUGACUGUUUCCUCUUCUCUUCUUCUUCUCCACUUGUGUUGAGCUUGUGCAGUUCUCCCAACUCCAUACUGCCCCACAUGGUUGUUUUUGGUAUUGAGCUAACACUGCUAUUAUCUGCCUGCAGUAUCAGCCAGCUGUACUGCCUCUCUGUAGUCAGUGUGUAACACUCUACAGACAUAACUCAAGUGAUUGACUUGGUUGAUGAAGUUUGAUGUGCUUAUUCUAAAUCAUUGAUCAUUGCUUUUUGAUUUUUGUCUUUGUUAUAAGAGCCUCCAUGAUGUAUUGAUAAAGUAACUCCUUGAAUCAAUCACCUGAUCUUGUUGUUACUUAUCACACCAUUGAGCAGUUUUACUGUUCCCUAUAAUACAUUAAUGUAUUAACCCUCCUCGUAAGAUUAAUUAAUUAAUGAACAAAUUAAUUAAUAUUUGAAAUUUCUUUUAACAUUCCAGAUAGAUUUGGUAGUUGAACCUUUGGAUUAAUUGCAAUUUGUGAAUUAACUUCAGAGUUAAUUCCUUAAAUUGACAAUUUCAUUGAUUUUUCAAAUUCAUCCAACUGCACCAGGCAGUUUAUUUAAGCUUUGCUGAUCUCUGCAACACGGAGACAAACUGAACCCUUUAUUCAAUGGUUCUGUAUCUGAUGUUAAAUUUAAUUUAACAUUAUUUCACCUUGUUUUUCUUUCAAUUUUCAUUGAAAUGAAUUUAACUUUAUGUUAUUUUUCUCUCCAUUAGAGAUCUACUCAGAUAGGCUCUUCCUCUUUAUCAAGCACUGAUAAAUUAAGUCGAUUAACCCACUUAAUUUGAUAUUGUACUUCUUCCUUUCAUUUUAAGUCAACUCAAACUCAUCAACCAACCACCUGCACCUCUUUACCAAAACCAAACAUGCCUAACACAAAGGAGUCCAGCCAGGGAGACCCCCUGAGGGACAUACACACAGUGUUAGCAAACUUAACUAGUCAGCUGAUACCUCAGUACAUGACUAAGAUUCAUAAGGCCAAACCCUCCAAUCCGGAGGAUGAAAUGGCUGACUUACUGGAAACAGCCUUAACCACGACACUUCGUGACAAAGAGCUCACUAGAUGCAUGUCUGUCAUGAUGUCUUCUCAGCUUGAGUAUAAAGACUACUUGCUGGAAUGCGCUUUAGCAAAGAUAAAGGCGCAAAAAGAUGAAAACAGCGCUCUGAAAAAGACGCUAGAGGAGACUAAGAAGUCUUUAAGUGUUUUAGAAAAACACAGUGCCAGAUGUGAAGCGUCAAAGCUUCCCUCACUGAUAAGUCAUGAAGAAAAUCUUGAUCUCAAAGACAAGAUUGAAAGACUUAAUGAAAACCUUUACAAAAAGGAGAAAGAACUUGAUGACACGAAUAAGCAGCUUGCUAAGACCACAGAGGAUCUGAUACAGUCAGAAUCCCUACUAGAGCAAGCAACAGAAGAUGUAAAAACUUUGAAAGCACUGGUCAAAGUGCGUGCUGAAGCUCUUGAAGUUAAGGAGAAGCAAACUUCUACCUUACAGCACCAGCUCCAGAUAGCUCAAAGACAGUUAAUUCUUUGUCAAGAACAGCGAGAAAAGACAGACAAAGAACUUGAAGAUGCCCAAAGAGAGUUACAAUGCUCCCUCCAGUCAGGUCGAGCCCAAAGAGAACGCAUGGAGCAAACGUUUCUUGAAGAAAUGAUAGGUGAUCAGCCUCCUGAGAGAGCGCCAUCACUUCCUUCCAAACCAACUCUUAAGUAUCUCUCUCAGCAUCAUGACAGGACCCUGCUUGACCCUGAGAGGUCAUCCUUAAACCAAGAGUCCUACUCUCCUCCUCAUGAUGGCUUCUUACCAUUUCCCUCAGACAGGGAUCUUGACAAAAUUGCUCGCAUCAUAGCACGCUUUGAACCUGAGCACCAAGCUGCUAUUGACACCUGCACCUACUUGAAAGACAUUGACUUUUACCUGAGGAAAUUUCCAGGUGCAACCGUUGAUGACAAAAUCUACCUUAUUAAGGCGACGUCAAGUCGAGAGGUUAGCAGUUUCCUUGAACGACAGCCUUAUCAUGUCAGAAAUAAUUAUGACUUGCUCUGCCAAGCAUUAAUUGAAGAGUUUUCUGACUAUUUGACCCAGACAGGCCUUUCUGCUGCUCUGUCUAUUAAACAAGGGAGAUCAGAACCUCCCCAACAGUAUUACAACCGCUUACGUGAAGCUUACUUUGGUUUCCGAAAUGAACCAGAAAUGGAGGAGGACUUGAACUUCAAAACGCUGUUCGUCCAGAACCUCCACCCUACCACCAGUCAUCACCUUGGCGUCUUAGCUUGUCCAAACACUUCGACUAGCCGACAGCUUCGUGAACUUGCUGUAAAAGGUUUUGCCAAACAACGACAAACUUUGGCUAAGAAAGCAGAGCCCGUCACUCUCUUGGCAAUGGAGACAAAAUCACUGCCCGUGGAGCUGAACGAAGCUUCAGACUGUGUAUUUUCAGGCUCCGAUAAGCCUCCACAUGAGUGGUUAACCAGGCCUCCAAAACCUUUUCGACCUCAACACACUCACAAAGGUCAAAGUUACACACCAAGGCCCAGGUCUGACACAGACCAAUGCCGGGUAAACUUUGAGACCAACUGUUGUUAUUCAGACUCCCGUCACGGUGGGUUUUAUCCCAGACAAAGGAAAAACCAUCAACACCGCCCAAGGGGGGUGAAUGACUGGCAGAAUCAGAAUAAAUCACACUCUCAGAAACGACGAUCUUAUUAUCCACCUCAAUCGGUUUCAUCCACUUUGAAGGUGAAUAAACAUGACUACUCAGCUAACCACUGAGAUUAACACUGCGGAGCCAUGAAGGUGUGAGUCCUGCGAAAGCAGAAGUCACUCAGCCAAAGCUAAAUGACUCCAAUAAGAUAUCCAAAUGCUGUGGUGAUACAUUGAUGACUGCAAUCCCAGUUGCUGCUUUCUUUGUUAGCAUUUGUCUCUCCUCUG
rnacentral:lncRNA from 1 species